rnacentral:rRNA from 1 species
CCACGGAGGGCUCCAGUGAGGAAUAUUGCACAAUGGGGGGAACCCUGAUGCAGCAACGCCGCGUGGAGGAUGACGCAUUUCGGUGUGUAAACUCCUUUUAUAUGUCAAGAAAAUGACGGUAGCAUAUGAAUAAGCACCGGCUAACUCCGUGCCAGCAGCCGCGGUAAUACGGAGGGUGCAAGCGUUACUCGGAAUCACUGGGCGUAAAGGACGCGUAGGCGGGUUGGAAAGUCAGGUGUGAAAUCCUACAGCUUAACUGUAGAACUGCACUUGAAACUUCUAAUCUAGAGUAUGGGAGGGGGAGAUGGAAUUAGUGGUGUAGGGGUAAAAUCCGUAGAUAUCACUAGGAAUACCUAAAGCGAAGGCGAUCUCCUGGAACAUUACUGACGCUAAGGCGUGAAAGCGUGGGGAGCAAACAGGAUUAGAUACCCCAGUAGUC